UCCCUGGUGGUAUAGGGGUUAGGAUUCAGCACUUUCACUGGUGUGACAUAGGUUCAAUUCCUGGCCUGGGAA
rnacentral:tRNA from 1 species